rnacentral:rRNA from 1 species
AUUCCAGCUCCAAUAGCGUAUAUUAAUGUUGUUGCAGUUAAAAAGCUCGUAGUUGGAUUUCUGAUGGGAUCGACCCGGUCGGCUCCGAAAGGGGUCGCACUGGUGGUCUGUCCGGUCAUCCUCGAGGGGAGGCUUUCUGGCAUUCAUUUGUUGGGGAGUCGACGCUCGUCGUUUACUGUGAACAAAUUAGAGUGUUCAAAGCAGGCUUAGGCCGUUGAAUACAUUAGCAUGGAAUAAUAAGAUAGGACUAUGGUACUAUUUUGUUGGUUUGUGCACCAUGGUAAUGAUUAAUAGGGACAGUUGGGGGUAUUCGUAUUCCAUUGUCAGAGGUGAAAUUCUUGGAUUUAUGGAAGACGAACUACCGCGAAAGCAUUUACCAAGGAUGUUUUCAUCA